GAUGAACGCUAGCGGCAGGCUUAAUACAUGCAAGUCGUGGGGCAGCAUGAGUAGCAAUACUUGAUGGCGACCGGCAAACGGGUGCGGAACACGUACACAACCUUCCGAUAAGUGGGGAAUAGCCCAGAGAAAUUUGGAUUAAUACCCCGUAACAUAUAGAGUAGGCAUCUUCUUUAUAUUAUAGCUUCGGCGCUUAUUGAUGGGUGUGCGUCUGAUUAGGUAGUUGGCGGGGUAACGGCCCACCAAGCCUACGAUCAGUAGCUGAUGUGAGAGCAUGAUCAGCCACACGGGCACUGAGACACGGGCCCGACUCCUACGGGAGGCAGCAGUAAGGAAUAUUGGACAAUGGGCGAAAGCCUGAUCCAGCCAUGCCGCGUGAAGGAUUAAGGUCCUCUGGAUUGUAAACUUCUUUUAUUUGGGACGAAAAAAGGGAAUUCUUUCCCACUUGACGGUACCAAGUGAAUAAGCACCGGCUAACUCCGUGCCAGCAGCCGCCGUAACAC
rnacentral:rRNA from 1 species